rnacentral:rRNA from 1 species
AUUGAACGCUGGCGGCAGGCCUAACACAUGCAAGUCGAGCGAGCGGCGGACGGGUGAGUAAUGUCUGGGAAACUGCCUGAUGGAGGGGGAUAACUACUGGAAACGGUAGCUAAUCCCGCAUACCAUCAGAUGUGCCCCGGUGGGAUUAGCUAGUGGGUGGGGUAACGGCCGACCUAGGCGACGAUCCCUAGCUGGUCUGAGAGGAUGACCAGCCACACUGGAACUGAGACACGGUCCAGACUCCUACGGGAGGCAGCAGUGGGGAAUAUUGCACAAUGGGCGCAAGCCUGAUACAGCCAUGCCGCGUGUGUGAAGAAGGCCUUCGGGUUGUAAAGCACUUUCAGCGGGGAGGCGUUACCCGCAGAAGAAGCACCGGCUAACUCCGUGCCAGCCUCCGCGGUAAUUC